rnacentral:rRNA from 1 species
UGGGGAAUUUUGGACAAUGGGCGAAAGCCUGAUCCAGCAAUGCCGCGUGUGUGAAGAAGGCCUUCGGGUUGUAAAGCACUUUUGUCCGGAAAGAAAUCCUUGGCUCUAAUACAGUCGGGGGAUGACGGUACCGGAAGAAUAAGCACCGGCUAACUACGUGCCAGCAGCCGCGGUAAUACGUAGGGUGCAAGCGUUAAUCGGAAUUACUGGGCGUAAAGCGUGCGCAGGCGGUUUGCUAAGACCGAUGUGAAAUCCCCGGGCUCAACCUGGGAACUGCAUUGGUGACUGGCAGGCUAGAGUAUGGCAGAGGGGGGUAGAAUUCCACGUGUAGCAGUGAAAUGCGUAGAGAUGUGGAGAAAUACCGAUGGCGAAGGCAGCCCCCUGGGCCAAUACUGACGCUCAUGCACGAAAGCGUGGGGAGCAAACAGGAUUAGAUACCCUGGUAGUCCACGCCCUAAACGAUGUCAACUAGUUGUUGGGGAUUCAUUUCCUUAGUAACGUAGCUAACGCGUGAAGUUGACCGCCUGGGGAGUACGGUCGCAAGAUUAAAACUUAAAGGAAUUGAC